rnacentral:ncRNA from 1 species
UAUAACCAUCCUAAGGUAGCGAAAUUCCUUGUCGGGUAAGUUCCGACCUGCACGAAUGGCGUAACGACUUCUCGACUGUCUCAACCAUAGGCCCGGUGAAAUUGCACUACGAGUAAAGAUGCUCGUUUCGCGCAGCAGGACGGAAAGACCCCGGGACCUUUACUACAGUUUGAUAUUGGUGUUCGGUUCGGCUUGUGUAGGAUAGCUGGGAGACUGUGAAGCGCUAACGCCAGUUAGUGUGGAGUCGUCGUUGAAAUACCAGUCUGGUCGUGCUGGAUGUCUAACCUGGGUCCGUGAUCCGGAUCAGGGACAGUGUCUGAGUGGGUAGUUUAACGUGGGCGGUUGCCUACCUAAAGAGUAACGGAGGC